AUACGAAAGGGGCAAGCGUUGUUCGGAUUUACUGGGCGUAAAGAGAUCGUAGGUGGUUUAUCAAGUCGGAUGUGAAAUCCCGGGGCUCAACCCCGGAACUGCAUUCGAUACUGGUAGACUUGAGUUCGGGAGGGGGGUGCGGAAUUCCGCGUGUAACAGUGAAAUGCGUAGAUAUGCGGAGGAACACCAGAGGCGAAGGCGGCAUCCUGGACCGAUACUGACACUGAGGAUCGAAAGCGUGGGUAGCAAACAGGAUUAGAUACCCCAGUAGUCC
rnacentral:rRNA from 1 species